rnacentral:lncRNA from 1 species
ACAGACUUCAUCCGGACUCCUGCGGGAGUCGGACUCUGCCCACAACCCCAACUGCAAGUAGACUUCGUCCGGACUUCUACGGGUGCCGGACCUCGCUACCGACUCCAACCAAGCUCCGACCGAUGAGUCUGGACCCCCUGGCGGGCCACAAUAACGGACAACACUGCUCCACUCCCUGCGGCGGACCCUACGCGACCCCAUUACUCUCUGACAGGCUGUAUUAACGGCCAUGAUUCUGCUUCACUCCCUACGACGGAUCCUGUGCGAUUCCACCACCCCCAGAUGAGUCACGACAGCGGACGCCGCUCCACUCCCCGUAACUGAUCCCGUGUGGCAAGCCACGGCAAUAGCCAUGACCCCGCUCCACUACUCUCCGCAAUAAAUUCCUCCUGACUCUGGGUGGCCCACUACCAGACGGUUACAGGCGUCGCUAUCAAUCUGUUGCCCUCUCCGUCUAUAAAAGGGAAACCCCAGAUACGUUAUUCCAUAAGCUCUCAUCUUUCAUCUAAAAACUCUGUUAAAUUCUCCAUUCGAGCACUCCAUUCUUGUUGAGGCAGAGAACAGACUUGAGCAUCGGAGGGUCUUGCCGGAGCAACCCCACCUCC